rnacentral:rRNA from 1 species
UACGAGGGGGGCAAAUGUUGUUCGGAAUCACUGGGCGUAAAGGGUGCGUAGGCGGUUGAUUAAGUCAGUUGUGAAAUACGGCAGCUUAACUGUCGAGGUGCAAUUGAUACUGGUUGACUUGAGUACAGACGAGGUAGGCGGAAUUGACGGUGUAGCGGUGAAAUGCAUAGAUAUCGUCAAGAACACCGAUAGCGAAGGCAGCUUACUAGACUGUAACUGACGCUGAGGCACGAAAGUGUGGGGAUCAAACAGG